ACUUUAUUAAACCAGAGCUACAGAUAACUUUUUUGGGUCAUUGAGUUAUGUACUCGCUUGUGUUGAUCUCAAUGGGGUAUCCUACUUUUCUUUUGAGUAUGCAAAUACAUUGUACUCACCUCACUCAAACUCAAUUGGGUAUUUUGCCAUUUUCCAUUAAUUUU